UACAGAGGUCUCAAGCGUUGUUCGGAAUCACUGGGCGUACAGGGUGCGUAGGCGGCGGAGUAAGUCGGAUGUGAAAUUUGGAGGCUCAACCUCCAACUUGCAUCUGAUACUGCUUCGCUAGAGACCUGGAGAGGAGUUUGGAAUUCUCGGUGUAGCAGUGAAAUGCGUAGAUUUCGAGAAGAACGCUCGCAGCGAAAGCGAAACUCUGGACAGCGUCUGACGCUGAGGCACGAAGGCUAGGGGAGCAAACGGG
rnacentral:rRNA from 1 species